rnacentral:rRNA from 1 species
AUUGAACGCUGGCGGCAGGCCUAACACAUGCAAGUCGAGCGAGCGGCGGACGGGAGGGUAAUGUAUGGGGAUCUGCCCGAUAGAGGGGGAUAACAACUGGAAACGGUGGCUAAUAACGCAUACUAGCGGAUAAGCCCAUAUGGGAUUAGCUAGUAGUUGGGGUAAAGGCUGACCUAGGCGACGAUCUCUAGCUGGGCUGAGAGGAUUAUCAGCCACACUGGGACUGAGACACGGCCCAGACUCCUACGGGAGGCAGCAGUGGGGAAUAUUGCACAAUGGGCGAAAGCCUGAUGCAGCCAUGCCGCGUGUAUGAAGAAGGCCUUCGGGUUGUAAAGUACUUUCAGCGGGGAGGCGUUACCCGCAGAAGAAGCACCGGCUAACUCCGUGCCAGCAGCCGCGGUAAUUC